rnacentral:rRNA from 1 species
AUUGAACGCUGGCGGCAGGCCUAACACAUGCAAGUCGAACGGUAGCACAGAGAGCUUGCUCUCGGGUGACGAGUGGCGGACGGGUGAGUAACGUCUGGGAAACUGCCCGAUGGAGGGGGAUAACUACUGGAAACGGUAGCUAAUACCGCAUAACGUCGCAAGACCAAAGUGGGGGCCCUUCGGGCCUCACACCAUCGGAUGUGCCCAGAUGGGAUUAGCUAGUAGGUGGGGUGAUGGCUCACCUAGGCGACGAUCCCUAGCUGGUCUGAGAGGAUGACCAGCCACACUGGAACUGAGACACGGUCCAGACUCCUACGGGAGGCAGCAGUGGGGAAUAUUGCACAAUGGGCGCAAGCCUGAUGCAGCCAUGCCGCAUGUAUGAAGAAGGCCUUCGGGUUGUAAAGUACUUUCAGCGGGGAGGAAGGCGGUGAAGUUAAUAGCUUCACCGAUUGACGUUACCCGCAGAAGAAGCACCGGCUAACUCCGUGCCAGCCGCCGCCGUAA